rnacentral:rRNA from 1 species
CCCAAACCCUUUGUGAACGAUAUUGAUUGGCCCCGGGGACCCCGCACCCGUGCGGCCCCCCGGUGGCCCCCCAUAACUCUUGUUGUAUCUGCCGUCUGAGUCGCAAAUGCAAAUGAAACAAAACUUUCAACAACGGAUCUCUUGGUUCUGGCAUCGAUGAAGAACGCAGCGAAAUGCGAUAAGUAAUGUGAAUUGCAGAAUUCAGUGAAUCAUCGAAUCUUUGAACGCACAUUGCGCCCCCUGGUAUUCCGGGGGGCAUGCCUGUUCGAGCGUCAUUACAACCAAUCCAGCCCGGCUGGGUGUUGGGCGUCGCGGCCUGCCGCGCGCCUCAAAGUCCUCGGCGGAAGCCGCCCGUUCCUCUGCGUGAUGAUCCAUCGCCGCUUGGGAGUCGGGGGCGAGCGCCUGCACGCGUCGACGGAGACGUCGACUCAAGGUGACCUCG